CCUCUGAGCCAUCCAUCAGCGAGCACUCUCCUGGAUGGGCUGGGGGAGGCAGUUAAAGUGUGCUCCAAAUCUGCCGGGGCUCUGCUCCUGAAGGGCUGCACUGCACAUUUCGCCACGGACAGACAUUAAUGAAGGAGAGGAUUCCCAAAAGGGGAGAAAAAGCCACAUGAAUGCCUUGCUUGGAUUUCUACCGAGCUGAUUCCACUCAGCACAUUCCAGGGGAAGGAUUUCUCCAGAUCCAGGGCAGCAUGGAGCCUCCGGAGCCCCAGGCAGAGACUGAGCCUGGCUUAGCCCUGGGGUGCCCCAGGCAGGGUCACUGCUGCCUGGAGCUGCCACUGAUGGAGUGAAACACCUCAGAGCUGAGCACAGGAAUGGCAGCACUGCAACCUGAUUAAUUCAGGCUCUAACCAGGCCCAGGGCAGCGCUGAGCACGGAGGGAUUGCAGAGCCAGCCCCCGGGGUCUGCUGGAGCCGUGUACUGAGCAGCGAUCGCUGAAUCCUCCAGAUGUCUUCCUCACACUUGGAAUGCACCUCCUCCCCUCCUCCUGCUCGGAACCAGAUCUGUGCUUACACAUCUCAUUUACA